AUGAGGUCCACAGGGAAAAAUUCUACAAUGCAAGGGGUAUAUUGGUGAAGUGGCGUAACAGGCCAAUCAAAUGUCUCCUUUUUUGAAUAUAUGUCCCAUUAUGAUUGUAAAAAAAUAUUUUUAUUGUACUUUUGUUUGCAGAGAAUAAAUGUGAUUGACUUGUUAUUAAUGACGUGGUGUAAGUGUGACAGUGUAGAAUUCCUCGUCCACAGGGGUAUAAUGUGGGCCGCUGUCGGGCAAG
rnacentral:lncRNA from 1 species